rnacentral:rRNA from 1 species
ACGCUCGACAUCUACAGGAGGCAGCAGUGGGGAAUAUUGCACAAUGGGGGAAACCCUGAUGCAGCGACGCCGCGUGGAGGAAGAAGGUCUUCGGAUUGUAAACUCCUGUUGUUGGGGAAAAGAGGAUGGUACCCAACAAGGAAGUGACGGCUAACUACGUGCCAGUAGCCGCGGUAAUCUGAGCGGGCUGGCAAGGC